AUAUCAAUAAGAUCUAUAGAGAUUGAUCAGCAAUGUUUCCAUUAGUCCCUUUCAGUCCCCUGGACCAGCACCACAUGGAUAUUGCUUUGGAUAGUGAGCACUUUUUUCAUCAAAACCAGAGAGAGUUACAUAGGCAGGACUUUGCUUGGAAAACAUCACCAGGCCAGUUUUUGUAAUGUUUAAUGGUAUUGAACAUACAAAUCUGUCAUUGCCACAGAGAUGAAUCUCCUCAAAGGGGGAAAAAUUAUUGGCAGAAAACACAACAGUGGAUAGAGGUAACUCUAAAAAAGACAACACAGUUUUCUAACUGAAAACAGGUUCUAACAAGCCAAACUUGAGAACAAAAUGGGUAAAAGCUGUAACAGGGAAAAGAAAACUGAAUGAGAGAAGAGGGAACUAUGCCCAAAUGUUUCAGCCACGGUCUCACCUUUCACUUAUUUGUUUAUUUUAGACUCUGUGGUCCAUCACUACAACUACUCUUUUGAAAUCUUAAUUGUGAUUCCUCUUUCCCCUCUUCUUUCAAGCACUUGCCUGGCCAGCUACAGCCCUGGGGGGCUGUCUCCUAGGCCAGCACACAUGUGGAGUAAAAUGCUCUGGAGGAAGCUGAGGUCAGGACCUGAGUCUCAGAAGCACUGCCAAGCACUCCACAAGCUCCUCCCAUGGGCUCAGCCUCUGCCCCACUAUAGCUAUCCCAUACCUUUCUGUUGAGAGCCACAGCCGAAGGGGCCCCAGCAAACUUCCAGCUGCCGGCUGAUGAUUGGCUCACAGCGGCCCCAGCAACAUCUAGCUGAUUGGCUCCUCGGCCCCAGCAACAUCUAGCUGAUU
rnacentral:lncRNA from 1 species